UACGGAGGGUGCAAGCGUUAUCCGGAUUCACUGGGUUUAAAGGGUGCGUAGGUGGGCAGGUAAGUCAGUGGUGAAAUCUCCGGGCUUAACUCGGAAACUGCCAUUGAUACUAUCUGUCUUGAAUACCGUGGAGGUGAGCGGAAUAUGUCAUGUAGCGGUGAAAUGCUUAGAUAUGACAUAGAACACCAAUUGCGAAGGCAGCUCACUACACGAAUAUUGACACUGAGGCACGAAAGCGUGGGGAUCAAACAGG
rnacentral:rRNA from 1 species